AGGCCUGUAGCUCAGUUGGUUAGAGCGCACCCCUGAUAAGGGUGAGGUCGGUGGUUCAAAUCCACUCAGGCCUA
rnacentral:tRNA from 1 species